GACGAACGCUGGCGGCGUGCUUAACACAUGCAAGUCGAACGGAAAGGCCCUGCUUGUGUGGGGUGCUAGAGGGGCGAACGGGUGAGUAACCCGGGAGUAACCUGCCCUUGACGGUGGGAUAUCUUCAGGCAACUGGGGCUAAUGCAGGAGAGGAGCUCCUGCUGCAUGGUGGGGGUUGGAAAGUUUCGGCGGUUGGGGAUGGAGUUGCGGCUAAUCAGCUGGUUGGGGGGGUAGUGGCUUACCAAGGCAUUGACGGGUGGCCUGCCUGGGAGGGUGACCGGCCACAUUGCGACUGAGAUACGCCCCAGACUACUACGGGAGGCAGCAGUGGAGAAUAUUGCACAAUGGGCGGGAGCCUGAUGCAGCAACGCCGCGUUCGGGAAGACGUCCAUCGGGUUGGGAACCGCUUUCGCCUGUAACGAUGCGUUAGUGACGGUACUGGGUAAAGAAGCACCGGCUAACUACGUG
rnacentral:rRNA from 1 species